rnacentral:misc_RNA from 1 species
GAUGAAGAACGCAGCGGAAUGUGAUACUUGGUGUGAAUUGCAGAAUCCCGUGAACCAUCGAGUCUUUGAACGCAAGUUGCGCCCGAAGCCAUUAGGCCGAGGGCACGCCUGCCUGGGCGUCACACGUCGUUGCCCCCCCAUCUACUCCUUCGGGAUUGCGGGGGGCGGAUGAUGGCCUCCCGUGCGCCUCGUCGCGCGGUUGGCAUAAAUGCCAAGUCCUCGGCGACGCACGCCACGACAAUCGGUGGUUGCGAAACCUCGGUUGCCCGUCGUGUGCGGUCGUCGCGCAUCGAGGGCUCGAAAAAAUUGCCGGGCUCCGGCUCGGCUUUCAACGCGACCCCAGGUCAGGCGGGGUUACCCGCUGAAUUUAAGCAUAUCAAUAAGCGGAGGA